ensembl:lncRNA
AGCGCAGCCUGUGACCCCAGCGCAGCCUGUGGCCUCAAAGAGGGGUUUUCUCCACAUGGUGCUUGUGUUAAUUGGACUGUUCUUCCUGACCCUGACCCUGCUGACCUUUGCCCUCUCUGGCCUGAACCCCAAAGUGACAAACACGGCUCGUGUGAACCUCUGCAUCAGUCUGCUGCUGUCUCACCUCCUCGUCCUGCUCGUCCAGGAGUUCAUCCACCUCAUCCGCCCUCACAAGGUGUUGUGUAAAGGUCUGUCCAGCCUCCAGAACUUCCUGUUCCUGUGCGGCUUCUUCUGGGUGCACAUGGACACGCUGCUCCUCUUCGUCUCUGUC